ensembl:misc_RNA 7SK 7SK RNA
GGAUGGAAGGCAAUGUGGCUGCUACGUCUGUCACCCCAAUGAUCACCAGGAUUGAUUCAACUGAUCUGGCUGGCUAGGUGGAUGUUCCCUUCCUCCCUCACUACUCCAUGUGUGUUCCUCCUGAAGCUUCCAGCUUAGUCAAAGGACAACCUUCCCUGAUAAAGAAGAAUCAUUCUUCAAGUGUACAUAGUAGCUGAGCUCCCCUGCUAGAACCUCCAAACAAAGACACUUCCUAGCUGGGGGCAAUGGUGCACACCUGUAAUCCCAGCAACUCAGGAGGUUGAGGCAGGAGGAUCACAAGUUCAGU